rnacentral:snRNA from 1 species
GGAUGUGAGGGUGCUCUGGCUAUGACGUCUGUCACCUCAUUGAUCAUCAUGGUUUAAUUGGCUAAGGUGGCUGGCUAGGCAUGUGCCCUCUUCCUCCCUCACUGCUCAUGUUCGUUCCUCUGGAAGCUGUGCACUUAGUUAAAGAGGAUGAGCUUCCCUGAUAGAGGAGGACCUUCUUUCGCUAAGGGUAUAUAAGCAUCUGUGCUUCCCGGCUAGAACCUCCAAACUCUUAAGGACCCUGUGUUUCCAACACAUGGAAUCUGGGGAUAGUCAAACCGCAGCAUCCACCAGCUAUUGAAGCUGUCCAAUUAAAUCCUUCU